rnacentral:rRNA from 1 species
UGUGUAGGCGGUUUUCUAAGUCUGGUGUGAAAUCUCCCGGCUCAACUGGGAGGGUGCGCCGAAAACUGGAAGGCUAGAGUACUGGAUGGGUAAGUGGAAUCCCUGGUGUAGCGGUGAAAUGCGUAGAUAUCAGGAGGAACACCUGUGGUGUAGACGGCUUACUGGACAGUAACUGACGCUGAGACACGAAAGCGUGGGUAAGCAAACA